AUUCUACAUUCCAAAUUUAACACAUUUUAUUAUUUUUCACAAAUUUUUAAUUUUUUUGCGUAACCUUGAAGAUGCUUUUUUCGAAACUGGUUUAAUUGUAAGGCACAAAGGCAGUAACACAAGUGAGGGUCAAAGGUAUCAAAAUCAUCUUUAGUGACCCUAAAGAAACCAAAAUAAAUAUGUUCUGCUUGUUGAAAUUGAGCUUUUAAGGUACUGCAGAUACGAUCAAAUUCGAACAUCCCAAAAGUUAAUUGUCAAUUUUUUUCACAGCCAUUUUUGACAUUUUUACUUCAAUUUUUAUCAUGGCAAAGAUCUUCACCAUCGGUAGUUAAGGG